UUGAUGGCACACUAUUCUAGUCAAUUACUUUAUUAGGAAGACGAGCUUAAAAAUUCGUUAAAGGGCAUAUCUGUGAAACCUUUGGUGUUUGCUUCUAACGCCCAGUUUGGGGUGAAUGCUGAAGAUGAGAAGAAUGGGCAACUUGUAAUGGCAUACAAGAAAUGACCCAUUUUUCGUGGAGACCAAUUCUUGUGGAAAAUCUAUACGAGCAGCUCUGAUGAUUUUUUACGAAGUUGGAUUAAACCUGUAUUGUGGCGAAAGUUAUGUACAGCGUAGCCUGUCUUGAGUGAAAAUAUUGGGAUAAAUGAUCUUAUUUAAUAAAAUCGGCCACUUUAUUAAAUAUUGCAUUUUGAAAUUGUUUUUGCAAAAAAGAACUAAUAAUAAAGUGUUGGAGAGGAAAUCUCCUAGGGUGUAAUUUAAAAUAGGAUUGCAGUGGGUACUAAGUGGUAAUCAAGUCGUAUGUUUAGGAAACUACAUAUUGAUUCUUUUAAAGGGGAACCGCAAUUUUGGUAACGAAAUUGUAAGAAUUAGGGAAAUCCUACUUGACCUAAGACUCAAAGUUAACUAUUUUAAUAGCCAAACAAUUAU
rnacentral:sRNA from 1 species